UACGGAGGGUGCAAGCGUUAUCCGGAUUCACUGGGUUUAAAGGGUGCGUAGGCGGGCAGGUAAGUCCGUGGUGAAAUCUCUGAGCUUAACUCAGAAACUGCCAUGGAUACUAUUUGUCUUGAAUGUUGUGGAGGUAAGCGGAAUAUGUCAUGUAGCGGUGAAAUGCUUAGAUAUGACAUAGAACACCAAUUGCGAAGGCAGCUUACUACGGGAACAUUGACACUGAGGCACGAAAGCGUGGGGAUCAAACAGG
rnacentral:rRNA from 1 species